AAAUUUUCAACUUCUAUUUAUAAUUAUUUCCUCGUUCAUUUCUUCUUCUUCUCGAUAUUUUUUCUCAUUCCCCUUGGAGUUCCAUUGAUCUGAAAAAGAGUAUAUGACUCAGAAACUUGGUAUUGAAGAAGAUAAAUUUCAAGAACUGUGCCUUGAGCUUUACAAAAUCUAUGGAACCACUAUGGCUGGUCUCAAGGCUGUGGGUUGUGACUUUGAUUACGACGAUUUCCAUCAGUACUCUAAAAUUAACCAUCUUGAGAUUUCCCUGAUCUUGAGAAAUCUUCGACAUAAGCAGUUACAUUGCGAACCCUGAUCCAAGCAUCCAACUCCCAAAGACUCCGGUUAUAUGCAAACCAUUUGAAGUAGCAAUUCGAACAUGUUUUCAAGAUGACCAACAUCAAUCCUCACAAGACAGUAAGAACACAAUCAAAAUCUCUCUCUUGUUUUUCUUGCCUAAUCACUAAAGCUUCCUUGUUGACGACAAAGCCGAGGAGAUUAAAUCCAGGCAGAAGGUCGCCAUUGAAACCAUUGCUUAAACCAAAACAUUUCACAGCUCAUAUAGUAACACAAAGACAUAGCACGAAACCAUUACUUUAUCACUACUCACUCUUGGAAGAGAAAAUAAUCAUAAGUGUAGUUUAAAGCUUUUAUUGAGAGAGAGAGAGAACAUAAACCAAGUCGAGUAUAUUUAAUUAAUAAUAUAUUAAAAAUGAGUCCAAACUUUUUAAUCUAUUUUACAAAAAAGCUAAAUAAGUACAUAAAUUUCAUGAUCUUUUUUUAUCAUUCACUUGUCUCAUGAUCCAUGAUGAUUCCAUGCGUAAGGAAAGCAAGAAC